rnacentral:rRNA from 1 species
CAGCAGCCGCGGGAAUACGGAGGGAGCUAGCGUUGUUCGGAAUUACUGGGCGUAAAGCGCGCGUAGGCGGUUACUCAAGUCAGAGGUGAAAGCCCGGGGCUCAACCCCGGAACUGCCUUUGAAACUAGGUGACUAGAAUCUUGGAGAGGUCAGUGGAAUUCCGAGUGUAGAGGUGAAAUUCGUAGAUAUUCGGAAGAACACCAGUGGCGAAGGCGACUGACUGGACAAGUAUUGACGCUGAGGUGCGAAAGCGUGGGGAGCAAACGGGAUUAGAUACCCGAGUAGUCCCUGUCUCUUAUAC